rnacentral:lncRNA from 1 species
GGAGGAGUUAGUCUGUAAUCGUCGGAGCCGCCGUCAAGUGCUAAAGACGGUGCCAUUGAUUGAUUGAUAUUUGACUGUGAAUUGAGUGAAAUGGUUUUGGUGAUGGCUGAUACGUACUGUGAUCACUCGUCAAUUCAAGCGUUUACCAAACAUGAACAUUCUCUCAAUUAAUUAAUUAGUAAUUAAUAAAAGAAAGUGAAAAUUACUAAAUUAGGCUUACCAGCUACUACCAGACUUUGG